UCUGGUUAACCCCGCAGGUUCCACCGACUCCGGGCUCGCUCUCCGAUCGUGAACCGCUGCAGCAGAUCCUCACGACCAGUCCCCGGCACCGGCAGGCAACACAAAGGCGCUGAUUGGGCCUCGACGAGCGCUCAUCCCACUCGGUGGCUGCACAGACAGGCGGGUUAUUGGUCGGCGGCUGUGUCGGAGACGCGCCCCUAUUAAGAUAUCGGCAGUGUGUCUCUGUGGAUAUACGCUGCUCAUUUCUUGAAGAACUUCUUGUUGAGGAGGAAGAUGAGCAGAUUCACGUUGACUUUGGCCUUGUCAAACAUCUUCAUCACGGCAACCCCCUCGUACUGCAGCUGCAGCAGGUCCUAGACAGACAUGGACAAUCGCAGCAGCCUAAAGAAAAGUCCCAUCCACUGAAGCAGAGGAAGCUGCAAUCGAGCGUGUGCUGCUUCAGGGAGCCAAAGAGGGCGUGCUGUUCACACCACAGCUUUUCAUACACUGCCUUGAUUUCCACCUUAUUUGUGCAUGUGGAAGAAAACACACACUAGAACAGGAGGUGGGAAAAGUUCAAAGUAAAGGAACUCCACCUAGUCACCAUUUCACCGAGACACAUGGGGCCAGAUUCUCCCUCCCAGGAGUGUUAAGCAUUUUUCUGAUAAAAUAUGACGACGCUGGCAUGACUUCAAAUAAUUAGCAUUUUGGCAAAAGGGACUGUGCUUGAAUUCUGCCAUCUGGUGCUUGCUCACCUGGUA